rnacentral:lncRNA from 1 species
CCGCACAGUAUUGACUUAGAACAAGGCUUUCUUCCAGCUGAGAGAAGACGGUAGAAGGGGAGGAAAUGGCGCGUUCAAGAAGGAGCUACCUAGUGGAUGGAAAGUGGUGUUUCGAAGUAAAGGAGCACAAGCACACAUGUUUGCAAUGUUCUGCCAAGUGGUUACGGAACCCCUUCCUGACGUCAUUAUUGUGCUGUCCUCGCCCUGCCGUUGAAACACGGACUCGUCUGUCCAAUGCAGUAUAGUCCUCUAAUGAUGGACCAACUCGCCCAAACCAAGAUAAAAGUCAUAUGCAGCACUCAAACUACUCCCGAAAUAUCUGAAAAAAAAAUGAAAUCGAAUAAAAAUUAAAAGCACUAUGUUACCGAAAUCAACAUAUCCGGCUAUCGCAAUUCUGAAGGAUGUGCAC